UACAGAGGUCCCGAGCGUUGUUCGGAUUCAUUGGGCGUAAAGGGUGCGUAGGCGGCGGGGUAAGUCUGAUGUGAAAUCCUGGGGCUCAACCCUGGAACUGCAUUGGAUACUUCCUUGCUAGAGUACUGGAGAGGAAACUGGAAUUUACGGUGUAGCAGUGAAAUGCGUAGAGAUCGUAAGGAAGACCAGUGGCGAAGGCGAGUUUCUGGACAGUUACUGACGCUGAGGCACGAAGGCCAGGGGAGCAAACGGG
rnacentral:rRNA from 1 species